rnacentral:rRNA from 1 species
AAAUAAAAUAUUAUUAAUUGUAUUUUGUAAAGUUGAUUUUUAAUAUAAAUAAAUUUAAUUAUAUAAUUUUUUGUAUUAUUUAAAGAUAAAAUAAUUUUUAUUAUAGUGAAUUAGUAUUGAUAAAGAAUUUUGAAAAAAUUUAUUAUUUAAUUAAAAGUAAUAUUUAUUUUAUGUACCUUUUGUAUCAGGGUUUAUUAAUUAAAGAUUAAUGAUUUUAUGAUUCUCGAAUUUAAAGGAGCUAGUUUAAUAUGAUAGUUUAUGUGUUAUAAUAAUUAUAAAUUUUAAAUUAGUAAUGAAAUGUUAUUCGUCUUUAAAAAUAUCUAGUUUUUUAAGAAAUAAAUUUAAUUUACAUAUUAAUAAUAUAAUAUUUUUUAUUUAAAAAUUAAUUAUUUGUUAAUAUGAAUAUAUUAAGGGAUAAGCUUUAAUUUAUUGGAUUAUAAUUUUAUAAAAGUAAAAAUUAAUUGUAGAUUUAGAAAUAGUUAUCAAUAAAAAUUUUGUAUUAAUUUAUAAAUAUUAUUUAAUAUUUUAUAAGAUUUAAUUAUAAUAUUAAAAUAUAUUUUUUAACAAUAAAAGAUUAGAAAUAAUGAUGAAAUUAGUAUAUAUUAUUUAUUAAUUUUAUAAUUUAAUAAAAAUUAAUUUAAGGAAUUCGGCAAAAAAAAUAUUCACCUGUUUAACAAAAACAUGUCUUUUAGAAAAUAAUUUAAAGUCUAACCUGCCCACUGAAUAAUUUUGAAGGGCCGCAGUAUUUUGACUGUGCAAAGGUAGCAUAAUCAUUAGUCUUUUAAUUGAAGGCUUGUAUGAAUGGUUGGAUGAAAUAUUAACUGUCUCAAAUUGAUAAAAUAGAAUUUAAUUUUUAAGUUAAAAAGCUUAAAUAAUAUUAAAGGACGAGAAGACCCUAUAGAUCUUUAUAUUUUUAUUUUUAAUUUUUAUUUAGAAUAAAAAUAUUUUUAAUAAUAAUAAUAUUUUAUUGGGGUGAUAAUUAAAUUUACUUAACUUUAUUUAAUAAAAACAUUAAUUUAUGAAUAAUUGAUCCAUUAUUAGUGAUUAAAAGAUUAAGUUACCUUAGGGAUAACAGCGUAAUUUUUUUAGAGAGUUCUUAUCGAUAAAAAAGUUUGCGACCUCGAUGUUGAAUUAAAGAUUAAUUUAGGUGCAGUAGUUUAAAUGUUUGGUCUGUUCGACCAUUAAAUCUUUACAUGAUUUGAGUUCAAACCGGCGUGAGCCAGGUUGGUUUCUAUCCUUAAUAAAAUAAAAUAUUUUAGUACGAAAGGACCAAAUAUUUAAAAAAAUUUUUUUUUUGUAAGAAUAAUAUUAAU